rnacentral:tRNA from 1 species
GCCUGGCUGGCUCAGUCGGUAGAGCAUGUGACUUUUGAUCUCAGGGUUGUGAGUUUGAGCCCCACACUGGGUG